rnacentral:rRNA from 1 species
AACGCUAGCUACAGGCUUAACACAUGCAAGUCGAGGGGUCUGCUUCGGCAGACGACCGGCGCACGGGUGAGUAACGCGUAUCCAACCUGCCCUUCAUAUUGGGAUAGCCUCUCGAAAGGGAGAUUAAUACCGAAUAACAUGAAAUGGUUGCCUGAUUAUUUCAUGAAAGCUCCGGCGAUGAAGGAUGGGGAUGCGUUCCAUUAGGUAGUAGGCGGGGUAACGGCCCACCUAGCCGACGAUGGAUAGGGGUUCUGAGAGGAAGGUCCCCCACACUGGAACUGAGACACGGUCCAGACUCCUACGGGAGGCAGCAGUGAGGAAUAUUGGUCAAUGGGCGCAAGCCUGAACCAGCCAAGUAGCGUGAAGGAUGACUGCCCUAUGGGUUGUAAACUUCUUUUAUACGGGAACAAACGAGAGUACGUGUACUUUUUUGCGUGUACCGUAUGAAUAAGCAUCGGCUAACUCCGUGCCAGCAGCCGCGGUAAUACGGAGGAUGCGAGCGUUAUCCGGAUUUAUUGGGUUUAAAGGGAGCGUAGGUGGCCUGUUAAGCCAGCUGUGAAAUACUGUAGCUCAACUACAGCCGUGCAGUUGGAACUGGCGGGCUUGAGUGCACAAGAGGAAGGUGGAAUUCAUGGUGUAGCGGUGAAAUGUUUAGAUAUCAUGAAGAACUCCGAUUGCGAAGGCAGCCUUCUGGGGUGCAACUGACACUGAUGCUCGAAAGUGUGGGUAUCGAACAGGAUUAGAUACCCUGGUAGUCCACACAGUAAACGAUGGAUACUCGCUGCCGGCGAUACAAUGUCGGUGGCUUAGCGAAAGCGUUAAGUAUCCCACCUGGGGAGUACGCCGGCAACGGUGAAACUCAAAGGAAUUGACGGGGGCCCGCACAAGCGGAGGAACAUGUGGUUUAAUUCGAUGAUACGCGAGGAACCUUACCCAGGCUCGAACGGCAAGCUGGAUGUUACCAGAGAUGGUUUCAGUCUUCGGACAGUUUGUCGAGGUGCUGCAUGGUUGUCGUCAGCUCGUGCCGUGAGGUGUCGGCUUAAGUGC